rnacentral:lncRNA from 1 species
CAGAAACUAACAUCUAUCCUUGCCUACGAAAUCUGAGAGUGAAUCAAGUAUCUGAAGCCUAAGAACUUGAGUGAGACAGUCUUAUCCUCGGAAGGGAUUUCCUGAUACCCAAGGCUUGUUAGGGUGGAAAUACUCUUUUCGGAAAGUGGUGCCCACGAUUCUGUCUUAAUCCUAGAUCUCUUCUUCUAUCAACACUCGAACGAUUGCUACUUGGAACCUCAUAGCCAACAGUGGGUUCCUCGCUGGUGGAUCUGGAGGAAGAUGAUGAAGUGGGAGAAAGUUAGAAUUUGGGGGCUAAUCAGUUUACAACUUGGUUUUCUAACCCGCGGAAUUACUACUCUGAGUUGCUGAGUGAUGACUAGGACGUUUGCCUCCGUGGCGUGCUUGCGUGGCGUUGUCGCGUGGCAUAGGAGACGAAACAACUGGACGGACACGGACAGAAUAGUAAACUCGGAUGAAAUUGAUAGAAUUAGAAUCUUGG